AAUCAACGCUGGCGGCGUGCCUAACACAUGCAAGUCGCACGAGAAAGUGGAGCAAUCCAUGAGUACAGUGGCGCACGGGUGAGUAACACGUGAAUCAUCUACCUCCGAGUGGGGAAGUAACCUAGAGAAAUACUGGGCGUAAUACCGCAUAACACUUACGAGUCAAAGACAGCAAUGCGCUUGGAGAGGAGUUCGCGGCCGAUUAGCUAGUU
rnacentral:rRNA from 1 species